CCUACGGGGGGCUGCAGUGGGGAAUAUUGGACAAUGGGGGCAACCCUGAUCCAGCCAUGCCGCGUGUGUGAAGAAGGCCCUCGGGUUGUAAAGCACUUUCAGUGAGGAAGAACGCCUGGUGGUUAAUACCCAUCAGGAAAGACAUCACUCACAGAAGAAGCACCGGUUAACUCCGUGCCAGCAGCCGCGGUAAUACGGAGGGUGCGAGCGUUAAUCGGAAUUACUGGGCGUAAAGCGCGCAUAGGUGGCUUGAUAAGCCGGUUGUGAAAGCCCCGGGCUCAACCUGGGAACGGCAUCCGGAACUGUCAAGCUAGAGUGCAGGAGAGGAAGGUAGAAUUCCCGGUGUAGCGGUGAAAUGCGUAGAGAUCGGGAGGAAUACCAGUGGCGAAGGCGGCCUUCUGGACUGACACUGACACUGAGGUGCGAAAGCGUGGGUAGCAAACAGGAUUAGAUACCCUGGUAGUC
rnacentral:rRNA from 1 species